UGCACAUGGUAAGAGGAAGCCCGAGAGCCC
rnacentral:piRNA from 1 species